rnacentral:rRNA from 1 species
CAGCACCUCGAGUGGUCAGGAUGAUUAUUGGGCCUAAAGCAUCCGUAGCCGGCGCUGUAAGUUUUCGGUUAAAUCUGUACGCUCAACGUACAGGCUGCCGGGAAUACUGCAGCGCUAGGGAGUGGGAGAGGUAGACGGUACUCGGUAGGAAGGGGUAAAAUCCUUUGAUCUAUUGAUGACCACCUGUGGCGAAGGCGGUCUACCAGAACACGUCCGACGGUGAGGGAUGAAAGCAGGGGGAGCAAACCGGAUUAGAUACCCGAGUAGUCC